rnacentral:lncRNA from 1 species
CUAUCGAAGCAUAUAGGAUUCUACUCAUAUGCACUCUUUUUUGAGGGGUUGUCAGAUAAUCCCUUUUCGAUCAAAAAUUUUCAUGGCCUAUCAGAAGAUAGUCUUUCUUAGAAUUCUCCAUACUAAAUAAUUUCAGUAUGAUGUCUAUGUAUGUGGAUUGGGACAAUCCAAGCAACCUCUUAGAUCUAUCUUUAUAGAUCCAUCCCCGGG